AUGCAGGCCAAGAAGCUGACGCUGCUGCAGACGGUGGCUGCCGCCGGAGUCUUCUCAGCCGUCUCCUUCUGGUACGGCUUCAUGUUUGGGAGGGAGUCUGCGCGGCGCGAGCUUGGUGGCAUCAUCGACGACCUUCGCAGCGGCUCCACAGCCACCUCUGCCGCGCCCUCCUCCGACUCACACGCUCACCCCAAACCAUAG
rnacentral:rRNA from 1 species